rnacentral:pre_miRNA from 1 species
CUUGUACUCCCUCCGUUCCAAAUUACUCGUCGCAUAAAUGGAUGUAUCUAGAACUAAAAUACAUCUAGAUACAUCCAUACCUGCGACGAGUAAUUCGGAACGGAGGGAGUAGAUA